GCAGCGGCAGCUGGCAGCUGGCUGGGGUCCGGGACUAAGUCUCUCCCCUGCAGGUGUGGACGCGCCGGGCCGAGGAGACCCUGACGCUGGCUUUCUGGGGCCUGGGCUGUGUCCCAGCCCUGCCUUCCUGGCCCGGGGACGCGCCUCAGCCUGUCCUCACUGGGAGAAGUAAGGACUCAGCAAAGUGCAGCCUGCAGGCCAAACCCACCCUUGCCUGUGUCUCCCGCCCAUCACAUUACCUCCUCCAGGAGACCCCUCCUCCAGCCAGUCACCCUCAUCCUGGACCCCAGGACACACGUUGGUGAGGGGCUUCCUUCUGGUAGCACUGGCUCUGGGAGCAGCCCCCCACAGCAGGCUCCAGCGAGAGACUGACUGCCCGGGUUCGAAUGCAGGUCUGUCACCUCCAAGCUGCGUGAUCUUGGGCGCAUGACUGAACCCCUCUGAACCCCACUCUACCCCUCUGUGAAAUGAGGAAGAUAGAACCUAUUAUUCAGAUGUUUCCAGACACUAAAUUACAAAACGUGGGUAAAACGCCUGGCGUAUGAUCAGCUGUCAGCAAACGGCAGUUACUGUAACUCAUCCUGCUCUAAAGUAAUUUCUAC
ensembl:lncRNA